rnacentral:rRNA from 1 species
UACAGAGGUCUCAAGCGUUGUUCGGAUUUACUGGGCGUAAAGGGCGCGUAGGCGGCGCAACAAGUCACUUGUGAAAUCUCCGGGCUUAACUCGGAGCGGUCAAGUGAUACUGUCGUGCUAGAGUGCGGAAGGGGCAACUGGAAUUCUCGGUGUAGCGGUGAAAUGCGUAGAUAUCGAGAGGAACACCUGCGGCGAAGGCGGGUUGCUGGGCCGACACUGACGCUGAAGCGCGAAAGCUAGGGGAGCGAACGGG